CCUACGGGAGGCAGCAGUGGGGAAUAUUGGACAAUGGGCGAAAGCCUGAUCCAGCCAUGCCGCGUGUGUGAAGAAGGUCUUCGGAUUGUAAAGCACUUUAAGUUGGGAGGGAAGGGCCAGUAAGUUAAUACCUUGCUGUUU
rnacentral:rRNA from 1 species